GACCAGACUCCUACGGGAGGCAGCAGUGAGGAAUAUUGGUCAAUGGUCGGGAGACUGAAUCAGCCAAGCCGCGUGAGGGAUGAAGGUACAGAGUAUCGUAAACCUCUUUUGUCAGGGAACAAAGGCGGGGACGCGUCCCCGGAUGAGUGUACCUGAAGAAAAAGCAUCGGCUAACUCCGUGCCAGCAGCCGCGGUAAUACGGAGGAUGCGAGCGUUAUCCGGAUUUAUUGGGUUUAAAGGGUGCGCAGGCGUUGUUGUAAGACCGGGGACAGACCCGGGGGCUCACCCCCGCCCCGCCGUUGAAACUGGCAGUCUCGAGUUGGAGAGAAGUAUGCGGAAUGCGCGGUGUAGCGGUGAAAUGCAUAGAUAUCGCGCAGAACUCCGAUUGCGAAGGCAGCAUGCCGGCUCCACACUGACGCUGAGGCACGAAAGCGUGGGUAUCGAACAGGAUUAGAUACCCCUGUA
rnacentral:rRNA from 1 species